GAAAUGUACAAAAUUGCUAAGGAAGUGCUUCAUGUAUAAUGCCACUAUCGAACAGCUCUACAAUUUCGUAUGUCGCAGUUUUGUCUUACGUGGACUCGACGCUCUCUGAUAAAUGCAAAAUUCAUUCUACCAAACUUAGGAACUAGAUAUUUCCUGAAAAACAACGCGAUAUCUGUCUCCGUAGGCACUGUUCUCUAAUUUCAAUUGCUAUGAAGAGGAAGAAAGUUCUUCUUACGAGCCAGCGUUGCUUAGUCGUGAAGGCACGCCAUAUUCAUGCGGACGUUCCCGCAAUGUAAAAUCCCUUCUCUUUUCUGUUCGUGAGUACUGCUAGUUGUGUUCAAUGAAGCUGAUCAGUUAAGUUGUUACUUUCUUAGCGGCCUCACGAGCUUACAAUCUUAAACAUCCCCGUGUUUUAAUGAAGUUUCUAAUUAAGCUGUUGUUUUUUGUUUGUUUGUGUUUCCUGUUUCCUAGUCUCGGUAACCUCCUUGAUCAUUUGAAGAGAGGAAGUUGUGCAUGAGUUAUCAUGAUGAAUGUCUCUCUAGCAAAGUGGUGUCGUGGUGAAAAGGCUUUUGAUGCAUGAGGUAAACCAAACAAUGAUAGCCAUUGGUUAGCAAAGGGCAUAUCAAGUGCUGGAACAUGCAAAAAUAGGUGAAGAUGUCUUGCUUACUUUUUCUGUUAAUUGAUCAGUCAAUCGUAUGAUGUUAAAUAGCUUUGCAAUCCUAUAAUAGUAGUGGAUUACCCGUAGCCACCACUUGAAGAAUAGUUUUUAAUACCAGUAGAGUACAGAUCACCUGUUGGGACUAUCUUCACAAAGAUAGAGAUCAACUUUGCACCCCAUUCACCUGCCUUCACUUCUUUGGUCUGACUGUUUAAAUUAUUAUCAUUGUUAUUAUUGCUAUUAGUAGUACGUAGUGGUAUGUUUAUGAUUGUUGUAUGAUUAUUGUCAAAUAAAGCUGUGACAAAUUCUGUGUGAGGCCUCAGACUGUGCUCGUAUUUUCUAGUGGUAUACAGUUGUUUUCCUUUCCGGCCGUUGAAUAAAUGCUUCUACCUUUGCAAUCUGCUUUACUACUGCCUAAGAAAAGUUUCUUCUUCCCAAGAGAGAAAUCAAAAUGACCUGUUGGCAACAAGCGAGGAUAGCUACCACACUUGAUCGAAAAUUAUGCGCAGCUUCUGCGGAAACUCAGUAUCGCGGAAACAGCAGUUUUGAAAGCCAACGAAGAUUAACCCACAAUUAACGAACGAUGCAAUUUAAUGCUAAAAAAAAAACGUGUGAAUCAAAACCAUACGGCCAACAUCUUGUAUAACCAACAUUGUUCCUUAAAUCAGUGGAUUUUUCAAGUUUAUGUUUAGCUUUCUUUAAUUAAAUACGACUGAAUAUGUGAAGAUUUCGUUUCAUGUAGACGGGUGAAUAUUCCUCAUUGCUGAGAAGACUACAGCACCUUUAAUUUGAAUCCUCAUAUAUCAAAUUCGUGAAUUAACACACCUUACACUAGAAAUCUCAAGUAGGUUGAUGGCGGUUAUAAUAAUUUGACGUACAGAUUCGGGGGUUGAAGCGGAAUAAUGAAUAACGGCUUCUAAAAUAAGUUAAAUACGGAAUAUUUAGGGUUUAGGC